rnacentral:rRNA from 1 species
AAUAGGCUAAUUAAGAGCGUAAGGGGAAUGCCUUGGCUCUCAGAGGCGAUGAAGGACGUGAUAAGCUGCGAUAAGCUUUGGGGAGUGGCACAAACACUUUGAUCCGAAGAUUUCCGAAUGGGGCAACCCGGCAUAUUGAAGAUAUGUCACACUGUAAAGUGAGCAAACCUGGUGAACUGAAACAUCUAAGUAACCAGAGGAAUAGAAAACAAAAGUGAUUCCGCUAGUAGUGGCGAGCGAACGUGGAACAGCCCAAACCUAUGUUGUUACGGCAAUAUAGGGGUUGUAGGACCUCAACAUUUAAUGCUAAAAGAACUAGAAUUUACUGGAAAGUAAAACC